CUCCUUGGCAGGUACCAAUCCUGCUCCCUUCUGCUUUUACACAGUAGCCGACAUAAUCUUCAGAACAGGCUCCUGAGGAAGUACCAAUGUCCUGGAAAGAGCUCGGGCCCAACGUCACACAGCCUGAGUGUUACGUCCUACUGUUUACCAGCAAUGUGGCCUCCGCCUUGUUUGGUUCCCUGGACAAGUCCUCUCCGUCAUCCCAGGAGAGCCAAGCAGCCAGAAUCCCAAGAUUCUCUGAGCAGUGCCAACCCCACCUGCACAGAUCUAGCCGUGGUUUGCUGUGGUCCUGCUGCCCUAGGCUGACCCUGGGCCUCCUCUACCCCAGGGCAAAGCACAGCAAGGGGGGACCCUGAUAGAAUAGCCAGACAACGUACAGUGGCAACAUCCCUGGCUGUCUGGUGGCAGCAGUUGGGCAAGUGACUCAGCCUGAGUCCAAGCUCCAGAGCUGCAGUCCCAGCCAUGGCUUCCGGUGUGGGCAGGGGGACAGAGGUGUGAGAGGCUGCUGAUCCUGUGUUGUUUUCCACGCUUAUGGCCUUGUUUAAAAUAAAUAAAUAAUGUAUUAAUGAAAAGAGGAGCUUGCAGAAGGGCCAACAAUGGAAGCAUGUCGUGGACCAAGAAUCUAGUUUUUUCACAAGCUCAGAGAGGCUUGUCCCUCCACAAGACAAAAACCACAACUGCAGGAGAGACCCAGCAAGGAGAACUACACUGAGCUCAUGACCGGAAGAGGACACACACUUGGGGAACUGUUACCUGCAGUGCCCAUAAUGCUCUUUUUCUUCAUGAGGUGCUGUUCAUUAUGAAAAUUUGAAGAGCUAUCAUAUGCCGAUUGGCCUGAAUGUAUUCAUUUUUUAAAAGAAUAGAAAAGAACCCUAAACUUUAUUUUAACUGCUCUACUUGUACUUAUGAUCCUGAUUCAAAUCUAAAAGAAAUGAAUGCCUUAGAAGAAGACUGUAAAGACACCCACAACAUUGACCUUUGGUGAAUUCCUCCAGGGAAUGGGCAGGUACUCUGGCCAUGCUGAGUCACACUGGAGCCAAAGGCAAAAGGAAAAACCAGGAACAGCAAUCCUGUCUUUGUUUAAAUUUUCCCAUGAUGCUCACCAUGGAUUUUUUGCAUGAAUUUUAAUCUUUAAAAGAUUACAUUAAAAUACUAUUAAUCUUGAUUACUGAGCUUUUUAGUAAGCCUAGUCCUGACCCUACUGCUAUCUAGAAACAGCUCAUCAAAAUUGGCUUGGGCUCAUGAAAAACCCAAAUCCAAUCUCUCCAUGGAAAUGCCCAUCUACUUAGAACACAAAGGAGGACUCUGUUCAUGAGACUUUCAGGCUGCUUAAUAACAACACUGGACAGCUGCAGACUCAGGGUGCAGAAGGAGCUUUACCAUCCUCUAAUUGAUCCUCCCUGUGAGCUUGUGUAAGCAGAGGUAGCAUCUCAACUUUGCAGAUAAAACACGAGGCUCCACUUUGGAAGGAAACUGAACUUUCCAAAUCUUUGAAAAGAAUUUUGAUCAGAGACACAGAAUGUUAUGACUUGUAUUUAGAUGUCCUCCCACCAAAGCCUCCUGUGCUCGUAUGUGGGGCUUUAGGGAGGUGGCUGGAUCAUGGGUAUGUGAUGCUGGAUUAGGGUGUAUGAAUACGAAUUAAGGGAGUGUAAUAACUAAAUUAGUCUGGAUGUGGAUAAUGGGUAAGCCCACCUGGGCAUGAGUGGCACCAACAAAUAAGCUUGUACAUGAAUGGAAUAAAAGGGAAAGGGAAGCUGCUGCUUGUUGCUUCCUGCCUACCCUGCCAUGGACUGUUUCCCUUCUGCCAUCCCAACCUGCCUUUGAGCUGGCCAACUAUGAACUGAAACUUCUACAAACUGUGAGCUAAAAUAAACCCUUCCUCCUUUAACUUGUGGCUAUCUGGUAUUUUGUCCCAGCAAUGAGGAAAGUAACUAACAUAGUGU
rnacentral:lncRNA from 1 species